ensembl:lncRNA
CUUUUCUUUUUCCACCUUACAGCUUUUUAUACAUCAAAGGGGCAGAGUAAAGUUGUGGAACCAGACCCAAUGAUGGCCUACUGGGCUGAGAGUCAGGGGCAGUCACCUGUUUAUGCCAAAUAUUGUACAGUACCUGGACCAAACUGUACACACAUGUACCAUGACAGACAUAAGGCCACGUAUCUCCCUUUGCCUCUCUGUGACCAGCGAGAGCCCAGCUGCUGGAAUGUACCAGGAUCCAGGACAGGAGGCAUCCUGCACGACUACACCAACUGGACCAACCCAGACCUGGCCGCCCCCGCCGCCUCCCACUUCCCUUUCGGGCUCGACAACCCAAACAAAGACCGCCCUCAGCCUCAAGAGACGAGAGGAGGGGAACGGAGAGCAGGAGGAUACAGAGGGGCACCAGAGAGAGAAUAUGAGUUAGGGAACCCAAACGAAGGGUGGCAGAGGAGGUGGGAGCCCGGCAGCAGCAGUAGCAGUCUGAGUGACAGCAGCUACCGGGAGUUGCAGGCAUGGGCAGCUCGGUACAGCCACUCCCUUCCUAGGAGGCGACGGAUGGGUGCCGAGAUGAAGGGUGCCUUCCAGGAAGCCCCUGAUACCAGUAGGACCCUGGGGAGGGUCAACAGGCAUGCACCGGACCCUCACAUGGCAGCGCUGCAGA